rnacentral:rRNA from 1 species
UGAGCCAAGUUUAGGGUUUUCUCAAAACCCAAGCAGUAUUGAACUGAAGAGUUUGAUCAUGGCUCAGAUUGAACGCUGGCGGCAGGCCUAACACAUGCAAGUCGAGCGGAUGAAGGGAGCUUGCUCCUG